rnacentral:tRNA from 1 species
ACCCUGGUGGCAUAGUGGUUAAGUGCUAUGGCUGCUAACCAAAAGAUCGCAGUUCGAAUCUGCCAGGAGCU